AUAAAUCAUAGGAGAAAUUCAGAAGACUUAUCUCCUUUGUUCCACGCCCUAAUUGACUCGAACUCCAACUCAGAAAACUGCUACUAUUGUCUUCAUUUUGGAUACUCACACCCUAAUUAUAAGCUCGAAAAAUGGCAGAAGUUCCAUCUUUAAUCUCUCUGGGCAUGGAGGCAAUCAAAAGACAGCUCCUUUGCGGAGAUGGUGUUUUGCCUGAUAUAUAUGAGCUUCCUUCCCAUUUAUUUGAUAUCUUGGUCACAAAAUUACCUCCCUUGGCUUUGCACAAGUUACAAGCUGAAAUGCCAUAUGAGAACUGGGAUGAUUAUGAGUGUACUGAUGGUUCCCCAAAAGUUGGAACUAAGCGUGGAAGAAGUGAUAACUUCAGUACAGCAUGGAAGAAGUUAUUUAAGCAGCGCUGGCCUCGGCUUGUUGACCAUCCUGAGCUAGUUCGCUGGCAGCAUAUGUAUUGGCAAACACAUUUGCAAAAUUGCCUUGAUGAAGCUGCAGCAUUAGCAUCUAUCCCGUCAUUUGAUAGAUGUAUAGGAGAGAUAAAAAUUUCAGAUGAUAUAUUGAUAUGCAUUGGUUGUGAAGGGCAUUUGAAUCAUUCAAUCUAUUUGAAAUUAUCUUACCACUUCCAACAAUUUGGGCACUAUGCUAGAUCUCUGAGACUUCAAAAUGUGCUGUGUGUUGCAGAAACUUGUAAAUUACUGAGAAACAGCAAAUUGCAAAGUUUAUCACUGCGGUGGAUUAGAUCCAAGGAACAUGUUGAUGGAUUAUGCCAACUGCUAAUUCAAAACAAUGAAACAUUGACAUCACUUGAAUUUAUUCACUGCAAGCUUUCAUCAACUUUUGUCAAUGCAAUAUGUGGUUGUCUAGAAAUAAAAGGGAAACAAGCACACAUCCUACAGAACUUCUCGAUCAGGACAUCAAGCUUCCUUGAAAAUAAUGCAGUUUCUUUAUCUUAUUCCCUUGUAUCAUUUCUUUCUUCGGGAAGGUCCUUGUGUUCAUUAAGAUUUUGUGACAACCACCUAGACCGAAAUUUUGCUCAGAUGCUUUUUACUAUGCUUAUUGAUGCUUCCUCUAGAAUAUCCAUCCUUGACCUUUCAGACAACAAUAUAGCAGGAUGGCUUUCUAAUUUCAACAGGGGAUCCUCAAGCAGGCUUCCAUCAUCUUUGGGGACGGGAAAGUCUUUGCAGUCUUUAUGUGUGCUGAAUUUAAGGGGAAAUAAUCUUCAUAAGUAUGAUGUGGAGAGUCUUAGAUAUGCACUUUUUUACAUGCCUAAUUUGGAGAUUCUGGAUUUAAGUGACAAUCCCAUUGAGGAUGAAGGAAUCAGAUGUUUGAUCCCUUAUUUUGUUGAGGCUCCAGAAAGAUGCAGUCGAUUGGCGGAGCUGAAAUUAGAGAAUUGUGAGCUUUCCUGCGAUGGAGUGACUCAACUUUUAGACACCCUUUCGUCCCUGAAAAGACCUCUGUGCUCUCUCACGCUUGCAGAUAAUGGCCUUGGCAGUCUAGUGGCUGGAGCUUUGGGAAAGUUUUUGGCCACAUCUAUUAGUGAACUCAAUAUUGGAGGCAUUGGACUGGGGUCAGCUGGUUUUCAGGAACUGCAAAAAGGGCUGAUGGUAGAAUUGAAGCUUGUCAAGAUCAACAUAAGCAAAAAUCGUGGUGGGCUUGAAACUGCAAAAUUUUUGUCCAAGCUCAUGUUAUCAGCUCCAGAACUUGUUGUAGUUAAUGCAUCUUAUAAUCUUAUGCCUGCAGAAUCCUUAACCAUAAUAUGCUCUGCUCUAAAGGCUGCAAAAGGUAACCUUCAGCAGUUGGACUUGACUGGGAAUACAUGGGACUGUCAACAAACUUAUGCUUCCAUGCUUUCUGAAUUCCAACAUAAUGGAAGGCCUAUCUUGAUUCUUCCGUCAUCAUGUGCCCCAGAUGUUCCGUAUGAUGAUGAUCCAUAGAUGGCUAAACAUUCACACAUUUGUUUGAAAUAGUUAUGCAGCAUGACCUUUUAAAGUUGUCAGAACUGCUUGUCAUACUGGAAAUAAGGCUUUAGAUCUUGGGCUCAAGCCGAGGUAGUGAAUAGGAUGGAAGGUACCACCAUCAAGUUAAGAGCCUUUUGGUUGCUGACUACUGGCUAGGCAGUUCAUACUUUUAUUACAUGAUGACUUAAUACAAAGCUGUCUUUGUCAAUUGCUGGUCACGUGGCUGUGGUUAGUGCACUUUUAGGAAGAUGUUUGAAAACAGGAAAGGUAACUGAACUUCUUGUGUUUGGACUUUGGACCCUGGAUUACAUACUGAUUUGGUUUUUGAUUUACCUCUUAAGAUUAAACACCAUGAGGCCAUGGAUUUUCCUUUAUGCACCUUUCCUUUCUGGCUACUGGCUACUGGCUACUGGCUACUGGUACCACUGCCCAGAGAUACAUCCCUGAAAGUUCUCUUUAUGUCAAUUUUCUAUGACUAUGAGCAUUGUCAGUCACCUACUUAUAGACUGCAAUACAUGAGCCACAAGCUUGGAAGAGUGAAAGUGCCUCGGACAGGAUAAAUAUAUCAAAUUCAUUAGCAAACCAAACCAAUACAUCCGAAAGAUGUCUUUCCAUCCUUAUUAUGGAAAUAAAAGGAGAUAAAGGAAUCCCAUCUUUGAAGGGAUGGAAGGAGGAUUAAAACCCUUGUAAUAGUUCUGGUUCUUUUAACUGUGGUUUGUGGAGUGUAUAUGAAGAAUGUCACUGAAACUAGGGCAAACCUUUCUCAUGAUUGUGGUACUUACUAGUUCCUAUUUUUCAUGUUUGAAUUUUAAGCAACCUAGGGCUACUGAUCACUUACAUAGACUCUUUGUUUACCUCACCUCACCUCAAUUUUUAACCCUGUGUAAAAUAAGAACCCUUUAUGGGUGGCAAUUGGCUCAAAUGCAUUUAGAUCAAGUUAUUUUAGGUGUCC